rnacentral:rRNA from 1 species
GAUGAACGCUGGCGGCGUGCCUAAUACAUGCAAGUCGAGCGAACGGACGAGAAGCUUGCUUCUCUGAUGUUAGCGGCGGACGGGUGAGUAACACGUGGAUAACCUACCUAUAAGACUGGGAUAACUUCGGGAAACCGGAACUAAUACCGGAUAAUAUUUUGAACAGCAUGGUUCAAAAGUGAAAGACGGUCUUGCUGUCACUUAUAGAUGGAUCCGCGCUGCAUUAGCUAGUUGGUAAGGUAACGGCUUACCAAGGCAACGAUGCAUAGCCGACCUGAGAGGGUGAUCGGCCACACUGGAACUGAGACACGGUCCAGACUCCUACGGGAGGCAGCAGUAGGGAAUCUUCCGCAAUGGGCGAAAGCCUGACGGAGCAACGCCGCGUGAGUGAUGAAGGUCUUCGGAUCGUAAAACUCUGUUAUUAGGGAAGAACAUAUGUGUAAGUAACUGUGCACAUCUUGACGGUACCUAAUCAGAAAGCCACGGCUAACUACGUG